UAUGCCCCGAAUAUCCCAGGCUACACGCGAGCUACAAUGGUUGGUACAAUGGGUAUCUACCCCGAAAGGGGACGGGAAUCUCCUAAAACCAAUCUUAGUUCGGAUUGAGGGCUGCAACUCGCCCUCAUGAAGCUGGAAUCCGUAGUAAUCGCGUUUCAACAGAACGCGGUGAAUACGUCCCUGCUCCUU
rnacentral:rRNA from 1 species